rnacentral:rRNA from 1 species
GAUGAACGCUGACAGAAUGCUUAACACAUGCAAGUCUACUUGAUCCUUCGGGUGAUGGUGGCGGACGGGUGAGUAACGCGUAAAGAACUUGCCUUGCAGUCUGGGACAACGUCUGGAAACGGACGCUAAUACCGGAUAUUAUGAUUGAAUCGCAUGAUUUGAUUAUGAAAGCUAUAUGCGCUGCGAGAGAGCUUUGCGUCCCAUUAGUUAGUUGGUGAGGUAACGGCUCACCAAGACGAUGAUGGGUAGCCGGCCUGAGAGGGUGAACGGCCACAUUGGGACUGAGACACGGCCCAG